CAGUCGCCACGGUAAUACGUAGGUGGCAAGCGUUGUCCGGAAUUAUUGGGCGUAAAGGGCUCGCAGGCGGUUUCUUAAGUCUGAUGUGAAAGCCCCCGGCUCAACCGGGGAGGGUCAUUGGAAACUGGGAAACUUGAGUGCAGAAGAGGAGAGUGGAAUUCCACGUGUAGCGGUGAAAUGCGUAGAGAUGUGGAGGAACACCAGUGGCGAAGGCGACUCUCAGGUCUGUAACUGACACUGAGGAGCGAAAGCGUGGGGAGCGAACAGGAUUAGAUACCCCAGUAGUCCCUGUCUCUUAUAC
rnacentral:rRNA from 1 species